CAGCUCAGUCUUUUCUUUGGUACCAUGGCGAGCGCACAGGACUCUCAAAAUUUUUGGAGGGAGUUUAUUCAUCUCUAUAGAGAUUUUCCUGCUUUGUGGAAAACUAAAAGCGAUGAUUAUAAGAACAGAGUUUUGAAAAGUGAAUGUUAUGUCAAAUUAAUAGAAAAAAAUGCGAGAAAUAGACCCUAGUGCCACACGAUCCACAGUGACCAAGAAAUUAAAUUCUUUACGUUCGAACUAUCGAAUGGAACUGAAAAAGAUACUCAACAGUAUGAAGUCAGGUGCUGGUGUAGAUGGUAUAUACACGCCUUCAUUGUGGUAUUUCGACGACCUUUCAUUCCUUCGUGACCAGGAGGUCCAGCAACCUGGAGUGUCAAGUAUGGAUGAUGGGGAUGAUGACAAUGUGGAAUCCAUAGAUAACAUUGACCCCUCCACAUUAGGCAGUGAGUCACAGCAGGUAGAUUCACACGUCCCAAAGAAAUGACAGAAAUUGGAUAUGCAGAGUAAACGUUAUGAAGCUCUCUCACUUGCAUGCUCAUAUCUCAAGCAAAGUAACGACCCCAUUGAUAUUUUGGCCAAGAGCUGGGCUCAAGAAUUUAGGGAAAUAAGUGCAGAACAGCAAAUAUAUGCCAGGAAGGCUAUUAAUGAUAUUCAUUUUGACGCAAAAUUAGGUACAUUGCAUAGACACAGCGUUAAGAUUAAUGAAAAUAAUAUUCAAAGUAGGUCUUCCACGCCCAUCUCAGUACUGUCCUCUGACAGCGGAGCAUCCACAAGUCGAGGUAAUAUAAUAAUCGGAAAUAUCACAGAUACGACUGGAGUCCGUGUUUACACAACAAUGUCAGACCUUUUGAACGAUCCCAGUACAGCUUGGAAAACUAAAUACGUUAUGGCAUAUUGGCAUUAGGAUCCGCCGCCCCACUUUUUUUUUUUGGUUUUGUUCCCAAGGGAAAAUAUAUUUUCAUAUGUAUUUGGUGAUAGUGUUAAAGAAUUUGUCAUUUAGUAGUCUAACUAUUAUUAAUAAAUACUUUUGUUA